UAUGCUAGUCUAAGCGUUUAGGCAGUUACGGUAGGCAAAUCCGCUGUAACGUUAAUGCUGAGGCGUGAUGGGGAAGGCCCUUGAGGCUGAAGUACAUGAUUCCAUGCUUCCAAGAAAAGCAUCUAGAGAGAGAAGUAGUGCCCGUACCGCAAACCGACACAGGUAGAUGAGGAGAGAAUCCUAAGGCCGGCGGAAGAAUUGCAGUUAAGGAACUAGGCAAAUUGACCCCGUAAGUUAGCGAGAAGGGGUGCCUGCGAGAGCAGGCCGCAGAGAAUAGGCCCAAGCAACUGUUUAGCAAAAACACAGGUCUCUGCUAAAGCGCAAGCUGAUGUAUAGGGGCUGACGCCUGCCCGGUGCUGGAAGGUUAAGGGGAACACUUAGCGCAAGCGAAGGUGUGAACUUAAGCCCCAGUAAACGGCGGCCGUAACAAUAACGGUCCUAAGGUAGCGAAAUUCCUUGUCAGGUAAGUUCUGACCCGCACGAAUGGCGUAAUGACUUGGGCACUGUCUCAACUGCAAAUCCGGCGAAGUUGUAGUGCGAGUGAAGAUGCUCGCUACCCGCGAUUGGACGGAAAGACCCCGUAGAGCUUUACUGUAGCUUAGCAUUGAAUUCCGGUAUUGUCUGUACAGGAUAGGUGGGAGACUGGGAAACUAGGGCGUCAGCCUUAGUGGAGUCGUCCUUGGGAUACCACCCUGACAGUACUGGGGUUCUAACAGGACGCCAUGAAUCUGGUGACUGGACAUUGUUAGGUGGGCAGUUUGACUGGGGCGGUCGCCUCCUAAAAAGUAACGGAGGCGCCCAAAGGUUCCCUCAGAACGGUCGGAAAUCGUUCGUAGAGUGCAAAGGCAGAAGGGAGCCUGACUGCGAGACCUACAAGUCGAGCAGGGACGAAAGUCGGGCUUAGUGAUCCGGUGGUACCUCGUGGGAGGGCCAUCGCUCAACGGAUAAAAGCUACCUCGGGGAUAACAGGCUGAUCUCCCCCAAGAGUCCACAUCGACGGGGAGGUUUGGCACCUCGAUGUCGGCUCGUCGCAUCCUGGGGCUGUAGUAGGUCCCAAGGGUUGGGCUGUUCGCCCAUUAAAGCGGCACGCGAGCUGGGUUCAGAACGUCGUGAGACAGUUCGGUCCCUAUCCGUCGCGGGCGUAGGAAAUUUGAGAGGAGCUGUCCUUAGUACGAGAGGACCGGGAUGGACUGACCUCUGGUGCACCAGUUGUUCUGCCAAGAGCAUGGCUGGGUAGCUAAGUCGGGAGGGGAUAAACGCUGAAAGCAUCUAAGCGUGAAGCCUCCCUCAAGAUGAGAUUUCCCAUAGCAUAAGCUAGUAAGACCCCUUGAAGAACACGAGGUUGAUAGGUCAGAGGUGUAAGUGUGGUAACAUAUUUAGCUGACUGAUACUAAUAGGUCGAGGGCUUGACCGA
rnacentral:rRNA from 1 species